CAACAACCUCAGCGGAGCCAAACAAGGGACCUGUAAGUCUGAAGCCACCAGCAGGAAGACAGAGGCCCCUGGUAGCCAAAUGCAACAGCAAGGAAACGCAGCAACUCACGGCUCCACCUUCUAGAAAAACCACAGCAAAGAUCAACUGCAAGGCUGGACCCAAGUUUCUCUUCAACUUUUAGGUCCCGUGAAACGGCACGUAGAGCACUGCCAACUUGACUGUCGGGU